rnacentral:rRNA from 1 species
UACGGGGGGGGCAAGCGUUGUUCGGAAUUACUGGGCGUAAAGCGCGCGUAGGCGGUUCGUUAAGUGGGAUGUGAAAUCCCCGGGCUUAACCUGGGAAUUGCAUUUCAAACUGGCCGACUAGAGUACGGUAGAGGGAGGUAGAAUUUCCUGUGUAGCGGUGAAAUGCGUAGAUAUAGGAAGGAAUACCAGUGGCGAAGGCGGCCUCCUGGAUCGAUACUGACGCUGAGGCGCGAAAGCGUGGGGAGCAAACAGG